GAUGAAGAACGUAGCGAAAUGCGAUAAGUAAUGUGAAUUGCAGAAUUCAGUGAAUCAUCGAAUCUUUGAACGCACAUUGCGCCCCUUGGUAUUCCAAGGGGCAUGCCUGUUCGAGCGUCAUAUUAACCACUCCCGCUUGCGGGGUCUUGGGCUUCGCCUCCGGGCGGGCCUUAAAAUCAGUGGCGGUGCCGUCGGGCUCUACGCGUAGUAAAUUUUCUCGCGAUAGGGUCCCGGUGGAUGCUUGCCAACAACCCCCAACUUCUUAAGGUUGACCUCGGAUCAGGUAGGGAUACCCGCUGAACUUAAGCAUAUCAAUAAGCGGAGGA
rnacentral:misc_RNA from 1 species